UUGUAGACCGCAUGGUCGGAUGGACUCCAUAACCGUGGGCCUAAUCCAUAUUCUAGAAGGCCCAUGUCCAUGUUCUAGAGGAUUCUCCUUAUGACGGUCUAUGUUAUACUUAGUGGGCUUUUGGGCUUUAGGGUUUACUAGCCCAAUGGGGAUUUGUCUCCCCUUGUCAUGUAUAAAUAUGUAUUGAAACCUCAUUCAUUAAUCAAUAAGAACAACAAGUUCUAUAACACGUUAUCAGCACGAGUUGCUCUUAACAAAAACCCUAAAACCCUAAACCUAAACUCGCCGAACUCGUCCACCGCUUGAAGCUACCAAACCAACGACUACUCGCUUUGCUCCUUGAUCAGCGAUCUCCUCCUAGCACCACACGUUCGUGAUAAGCUUGAUAACCGAGGUCUUUAGCUCCCGGUUCUAAUCCAUACAACCCCCAAAAGGUGAAAGGUAAAAACCAAAACCCUAAAAGCUAAAGAACCGAUCUUGAAUUUGAAUCUAACAAACGGUGGAAACCUAAAACGAAUCUGUAGUGUAUAAACGAUUGCUUUUGCUUGUGAAAAACCGAUCAUGAAUUUGAACCUAACAAACGGUGGAAAUCUAAAACGAAUCUUGAUUGCUUAAGUGAUUGCUUUUUGCUUGUGAAAACCGAUCAUGAACUUGAAAUUAACAAACGGCUAAGACACUAAAACGAGUCUUGAUUGUUCAAGUGAUUGCUAUUGAAAACUGAUCAUGAACUUGAAUCUAACGAACGGUGGAAACCUAAAACGAACCUUGAAUGUUUAAAGUAAUCUUAUUGCUUGUAAGAUCCGUUUAUUUCAAUCGUUUAGGUUGCUAGAAAAAGGUUGAUUAUUGCUUAAACUAAACUCGCCUAAGUUGCUAGAGAAGUUUUAAUUAUCUAAACCUAAAAAUCGCAAAUUACAUAGGUUACGCAAAUUACAUGGGUUACGCAAAUUAUUUGCUUAGGGCGUUUUUAAUUUGAUUGUUUCUUUGAUUGAUUACAUGCAUAAGUUGUUAGAAACCCUAAAACUAAAAUUGCAUGAACCCUAGAAAACUUAGAUAAUCCUAAAACCCUAAAUAAAAUAGGAAACCCUAGAAAAUAGGAAAUCUUUAAAAUCCUAAAUCUUAGGGAUAAUAGAAAAUCCUAAAACCCUAAAUAAAAUAGGAAAUAUCAAAACCCUAAAUAAUAGGAAAUCUCAACAACCCUAAAUCCUAAAUAAAAUAGGAAAUCCUAAAAACCCUAAAAUCUUAAAUAGGAAAUCUUAAAACUCUAAAACCCUAAUCAAAUUAGGAAAUAUUUAGAAAAGGAAAUUUAAUCCUAAAAAGGGAAGUCAAAUCCUUAAGUAAUCGAUUCAUAGUUCGGUUUUAAAACCGCAUGACAUUAACGAUUACAUGAUAUUGACUCAAAUUCCCCUUUUGCUUGUAGAUGUCGAAAACAAAGAACCUCAAGUUUUCUGCACUUAAUGUUUCCGGCGACAAUUACUUACAAUGGGCAUUGGACAUUAAGAUAGCCCUUGAAUCCAAAGAUCUCGCCGAGUGCAUUAUGAAAAACAACGAGUGUGAGAAGAGGUCGAAGUUUAAGGCGAUUGCGUUUAUACGCCAUCACCUAGCAGAGAGCCUUAAGAAUCAGUACCUUACUAUCGAGGAUCCUCUCGACUUUUGGGUCGAGUUGAAGAAUCGAUACGAUCACCAAAAGACGGUACUCUUACCGAAAGCCCAAUAUGAUUGGAAAAACCUCAGGAUCCAGGAUUUCAAAUCCGUGGAGGAGUAUAACUCCGAGCUUUUUUUAAGAUUGUCUCAAUCCUGAGGCUAUGUGGUGAAAAGGUGACUGAUGAUACCUUGCUUGAGAAAACAUACUCAACAUUCCACCCUAAUAAUGUGGUACUUCAGCAACAAUACCGUGGAAUGAAAUUCAAAACAUAUGCAAGUUUGAUCUCCUGCUUACUCCUUGCUGAAAAGAAUAAUGAGCUAUUACUAAUGAAUAGCUCAAUGAGACCUCCAGGAUCCACACCGUUGCCGGAAGCCCAUAAGGCCGAAAUAGCCAAAGAACCUCGAGAGACCAAAGGAACCAACUACGUCCAUAGAGGGUAUCACGGUCGUGGCCGUGGUAGAGGACGUGGUGGUGGUCGUAGCAACCAUAACUCCUACGGCCGAGGAAACCACCAUGGUGGUAGAGGCCGUGGGAACAAUGGUCGAGGUCGUGGCCGCGGGAUCUUCAAACCGCAACACAAGGCCAAGUCCGUUUGCCAUAGAUGCGGAAUGGACAAUCAUUGGGCUAAGACGUGCAGGACAUCUAAACAUCUAAUCGAUGCUUAUCAAGAAAUGAUAAAGAAGAAUCCCGAAGCUAAUUUGGCUCAUCUCGAUGGUGAUGGAGAUUUUGACCAUGAGAACGAUGACCAAUUGGAGUAUGAGACUUCGGAUUGCUUAAGAGAGGAAAAUUAAAUUCGACAUCUUGUGUUUUAAUUUGCUUUAUGCUUUAAUUUACUUUAUGUUUCCAUGCUCUAUGUUUUUUUGAAUUCUAUUCUAUGUCUUUGAAUUCUAUUAUUUCUUGGAUUUAAAUUUAAAGUUUAAUUUGCCUUUAAUAUAAUCGUUUACUUUAUUAUCUAAAGACAUAUUUCUUGUCAAUGGCCGAUGACAAGAAUAUACUUGUGGUGGAUAGUGGAUCGAACCACACAAUUUUAAAAGACAAAAGAUACUUUAUAAAUCUAACAUUGAAAAAUGCCAAUAUUAGCACCAUAGCGGGUAUAGCUAGUCUUAUUAAGGGCCAUGGUCAAGCCCAUAUCCUUUUAUCAAAGGGCACGCAUCUUGAAAUAAGCGAUGCCCUAUAUUCACCCAGCUCGAAGAGGAGCUUGUUAAGUUUCAAAGAUAUAAGAUUGAAUGGUUUCCAUAUUGAAACAAAGGGUGAAGGGAACAAAGAGAUCACCCAAGGACAUAAGAAAGUCCUAGAGACUAUACCCGCAUUAUCCACUGGUCUCUACUAUGCUAAAAUCGAUAUGAACGAAGCUAAUAUGGCAAUGAACAAAGAGUUCAUUGAGAAAUUCACUUUAUGGCAUGACCGGCUUGGCCAUCCGGGUCAUAGUAUGAUGCGUAAACUAAUAACUAAUUCAAAGGGGCACACCCUAAAAAGAGAAAAGAGUUAUCCCUAAGAAUCUCACGUGUGAAGCAUGUUCACAAGGGAAACUCAUUAUAAGGCCAUCACCGGCUAAGGUAAAUAAAGAGACCUUAAAAUUUCUGGAAAGGAUACAAGGAGAUAUAUGUAUGGUCCUCAUUGAUGCAUCGACAAGAUGGUCGCAUGUUUGUCUCCUAUCUACUAGAAACCAAGUGUUUGCUAGGUUAUUGGCCCAGAUAAUAAGACUGCGAGCCCACUUUCCAGAUUUUCCGCUUAAGACUAUAUGUCUAGACAAUGCCGGUGAAUUCACGUCCCAAGCGUUUAAUGACUACUGUAUGUCCAUGGGGGUAAGUGUGGAACAUCCCGUAGCACAUGUACAUACACAGAAUGGAUUAGCGGAAUCCUUCAUUAAACGAAUUCAAUUGAUAGUUCGACCAUUACUCAUGAGGUCGAAGCUUCCAGUAGCCGCUUGGGGACACACUGUUUUACAUGCAUCAGAGCUUAUACGCAUAAGGCCAUCUAGUGAACAUAAAUAUUCACCAUCCCAAUUACUCAUGGGUCAUGAGCCAGACAUAUCCCAUCUAAAGACUUUCGGGUGUGCCGUAUAUAUACCGAUUGCUCCACCAUAUAGAACAAAGAUGGGACCUCAAAGGAGGAUGGGAAUAUAUGUUGGAUUUGAUUCUCCCACCAUUAUUAAGUAUCUAGAGCCAACUACGGGUGAUCUAUUUAAGGCUAGAUACGCGGAUUGUCAUUUUAAUGAAUCCGAGUUCCCUACUUUAGGUGGAGAGAUGAACAAGCUGGGUAAAGCAAUAAAAGAAAUAUAAUGGAAUCAAACAUCCUUAAAUUGGCAAGAUCCUCGGACUCUGGCAUGAGAAUCAGAGGUCCAUAAGAUUAUACAUUUGAAAAGCUAGCUAAUCAAUUGCCAGAUUCCUUUGCUGACCCAAAGAAAGUUACAAAAACGUAUAUACCAGCUUGUAAUGCACCAGUACGUAUUGAUAUCCAAAAGGGAAUCAAUGAAAUUGCUACCGAGUCUAACACACGAAAGAAACGUGGUAGACCAAUAGGUUCCAAAGAUAAAAAUCCUCGAAAAUCAAAGAAAGGUGCAAUAGGAAUCCGAGGUUACUAAGGAAACCAUCCCAGACAUGGAGAUAAGGCCGGCCGGCUCUAAGGUACAGGUACCAUAUAAUGUAGCUUGGGACGCCAAGCUGCAAAGUAUUAAAGGUCCUGACCAUAAUAAAUCUCAAAUCGAUUAUAUCAUGUCUGGAACAUAAUGGAACAUAUAAGAAAUGUCGACAUAAGAUGAUUUUGCAUGCAAGGUAGCACUUGAAUUUAUGAAUAUAAAUGAGGAUCAGGAGCCCACGUCUAUACUAGAGUGCACUCAAAUACUUGAUUGAUUAAAUGGUACAAGACCAUAAAACGUGGAGCUAAGAAUCAUUAAGAAAAGGAAUGAGUUUGGUCCGACCUUAAGGACACCAUUCGAUGUAAAAACCAGUAGGACACAAAUGGGUCUUUGUGAAGAAGAGAAAUGAGAAUAAUGAAAUCGUGAGAUAUAAGGCACGGCUUGUAGCACAAGGAUUCUCACAAAGACCGGGGAUAGAUUAUGAAGAAACAUACUCCCCUGUGGUGGAUGCUAAGACAUUUAAAUUUUGCUAAGUCUGGCUAUAUAAAGAAAAAGACUUGAUUUGCGGCUAAUGGAUGUAAUGCCUGCAUAUUUAUAUAAGUCCACUGGAUAAUAUAUAUGAGAUUACUAGAGGGUAUUGAGCUCAAAGAUAAAGAUAAGAAAGGGUCUCGAGACCAAUACUGCAUAAGGCUGAACAAAUCACUUUAUGGACUGAAACAAAGUGGACGCAUGUGGUACAAUAGAUUAAGCGAGUACCUAGUCAGAGAAGGUUAUAAGAAUGAUCCCAUCAGUCCAUGUAUCUUCAUAAAGAAAUUUGCAAACAAAGGGUUUGUGAUAAUAGCAGUAUAUGUGGAUGAUUUAAACAUCCUUGGAACCUCUGGGGAAAUCGCCCAAACAGUCAAAUAUCUAAAGAAAGAAUUCGAGAUGAAAGACCUAGGCAAGACAAAAUUUUGUUUGGGAUUGCAACUUGAGUACGUGAAUAAUGGAAUCCUUGUGCAUCAAAAGGCAUAUACUGAAAAAGUACUCAAGAGAUUCAAUAUGGACCAGGCCCACCCAUUGAGCAGCCCAAUGGUGGUGAGAAGCCUCGGAUUGGAUAGUGAUCCAUUCGGUCCAAAGAAGGAUGAGGAAGAAGUUCUCGAUCCUGAAGUGCCAUACCUUAGUGCCAUAGGAGCGUUAAUGUACUUGGCUAGCCACACUAGACCAGACAUAUGUUUUGCCGUGAACCUCCUUUGUCUAAAUUUAGUUCAUGAUCAACCCAAAGGCACUAGAAAGGUUUGAAGGAAGGUUUGGUUAAAUUUUAAAUUCUAUUCUUCCUAUGUUUGUUUAUUUGGGUUUUAUUCUAUACUGAUCUAACCAAAGAAGGUCUAGUUUGCUUUGGUUUAGUUUGUUUUGCUAAUGCAGGUAAAAUCAGAUUAUGGCAUGGUCAAUAAAUAGGAACUAUUUAAGGGUACGUAGGCAGCCUUCUUCAAGGCGUAGCUACUACAACAUCAAAGACCAUCAUAUGAGGAGACAACACAGCCUGUAUCGCUCAGCUCAAGGACGGCUACAUCAAGGGAGAUCGGACGAAGCACAUUCUAACCAAGUUCUUCUUCACGCAUGACUUGCAAAGGGAUGGAGAAGUUCGAGUGGUACAAGUUCGAUCCAGCGACAACUCAGUCGAUCUCUUCACCAAGGCGUUACCAACAUCGACAUUGAGGAAGCUCACGCAUCAAAUUGGAAUGCGGAGACUUAAGGACUUGCAGGGAUGACCAAAACAGGGGGAGUAAUACGUGCUGUACUCUUUUUCCUUAACCAUGGUUUUGUCCCAAUGGGUUUUCCUGGUAAGGUUUUAAUGAGGCAGCAUCCCCGAGCGUAUUACUGAGAUCCUUUGGCAUCUACACGGUUAUGUCAUCCAAGGGGGAGUGUUGUAGACCGCAUGGUCGGAUGGACUCCAUAACCGUGGGCCUAAUCCAUAUUCUAGAAGGCCCAUGUCCAUGUUCUAGAGGAUUCUCCUUAUGACGGUCUAUGUUAUACUUAGUGGGCUUUUGGGCUUUAGGGUUUACUAGCCCAAUGGGGAUUUGUCUCCCCUUGUCAUGUAUAAAUAUGUAUUGAAACCUCAUUCAUUAAUCAAUAAGAACAACAAGUUCUAUAA
rnacentral:lncRNA from 1 species